CAUCAGCAGACACGUCAGAAAUUCGCUUCAUGUCGUUGCGACACGUGUCGAGUGUGGACUAAACGCACAGUUUCAUUUAAAAUCUCGAUUUAUUGGGCUUCAUAUGUAUAGCAUCCAAUCUUAAGUGUUUUGGGCUUACAAAUAUGAUGGGUGUAUGCAGCCCGAUUUAGGUUUCGUCUUUCCUCUACGUUAUACGGCGACUCCUGAUCUUCACCCCUAUUAAUUCAAACAACCACGAUGAGGGACGGGAUUCAGCCUUGAUGCUUCUUCUUAGACUGCCACCUAGAUAAAUAGGUCUCUGAAAAUGUGACACGUGUCAUAUUUUUUUAGUUAAACAUUUUUAAGUGGGCUUACGAUAUGGUCUUGGAAAACUGAUUUCACUCUCAUGGUUAGCUGAAACGAAGAGUCAUCUUCAACGCAGGCAUCAACUAUUGUCGAUCUAAUCUUUAAUGCUUUCCCAUUUACUGCCUUCAUCACAAUCUUAAGCUAUAAAAAGGUCUGUUCUGCACCGCUAAAAUCAUCAUUUCCUUUCUCUCAUUCAUUAGCUUUCUAAGAGAUCUAUCUUCCAAAAUGGCUAAUUCUUCUGUCCUCUUUUCCGAUUUGACGAUCAGCCGAUUAACUUCCACCGUCGAGGUCCGCCUCCUUAGGUUCUGAGAAGCCAGGGAUGUGAAGCGCGGCGAGUUAAUGGGGUUCACAUGCUCCUCCUCGACUCUCAGUUCCAGGUUGGGAAGCUUCAGAAUUGCGCCUCAAGUCAUGGGAUGAACCUUGGAAGCUGUGGUAUGUUGUUCUCGAAUUGAAAAACAUGGUGAUGACUCAGGGCAAUAUGCUUCAAGCCGAACUGAUGUUUCCAAACCCUGAACGCAUUUGAAAGGUGAAGAGUUCUGUAUGCUGACAGAGAGAGCGGUUGAGGAACCCAAUCUCAGAAGAUCAGCCGAGAUGAAGAAUAUUUUCUAUGACCCAUUGUGCUUCGUUUGAGUUUUUUCAUAUUUGGGAUUAAGAAGUAAACAAUAGCAUUCAAGCGACUGAAGAAGACAAUUUUUUUCUUUUAGGACUGGUCUAAUAAUUAUAAUUUGUGUUUGGCAAUAUAACUGUUUGUUCGGUAGCAUACGCAGGUUUCUAUAAAACCAUGGUUGGUGUUUAUGCUGAGUAUUCAUAUCCUUCUAUCUUCCUUAUGAUGAGGAAGGUAAGGUAUGGUAUUAACUUAUUUAUAUCUACGAAUCCGAUGUUGUGGGUGA